UACUCCGGCAGUAGCAGACGACGGGAUUAUCAUGUGGUGAUUCAUGCUUGACUUCUUGUCUUGAUUUUGAAGAAUUGAUCUUGAGGAAUGUUCACAGAUUGCUGCCAGUGGUUUGAAGGUCUUAAUUUUGACAAGAUGGAAUUGGAUCUGUUUUGGUGGACCUGUGAUAAGCCCAGGAUCAACUGGUCUGACCCUAACCUGUACUACUGUAUGGCUGUCAUUAUAUUCAAUCCAGUCUUCUGGAACUGUGAGCUGUUCCACAAAAACCAAAGAACACUGAGGAUUGGAGGUUCAACUUCUUUCAGAUCAGGAACUAGAGAUGAAUGCGAUCACAGGUAGCUUGGUAGAUGACAUUCUGUAGAGACUGACUGGUGAUAGUGGCAAUCCUUAUGUCAUGGAGCCAUCUAUGGCACACAGACACACACCUAUUAGUUUUCAAUAGCACUGCAGUUGCCAACAAUAGAUCAAGGUGAGCUACUGAAGUAAAUUGCCUUUCCUUACUGUCAACUGUCCAAAGUCUUAUAAGUGACUUCUCUUUUACUUCCUCCACAUCGGGCAGCAAGUUUUACAAGACAUCUAUAUGUCUUUAACUAAGUAUAGAUCGAUAUGAAAUGUUAACCAGCCACGUGUAGAAUAUACAAUUAAGCAUUGGAAUUAAGACUCAUUUUCUCCCUCUACUCAACUUUAAAGCACAAUACAGCCGUAACACUUUCAAUAACCCAUGCAGAUAAAAGGAGAAAAGACCGGUUACAUAAUGCAUGCCACGGCUCACUCUAUUCUUCCCGUAUUAAUUGUCUUUCUCCAGUCAUUCUUGCUAGGUAGUAUAGCUUCGCUCUAUCAACCUGCUAUAGGAGCGCUGUGGUACAGAAUACUCUGAAUGUCAAAAGAUGUGUACAAGGAAAUGUGCUUACUCAGUAAGCUUGCAGUGGAACAUUGAACAAAAGAACCAGAUCCCAAUCCUUAUGUAUACAGGCUACUGAAUAAUAGGUCCUGAGUGAAAGGAUACUCAACUAGGCAAACCAGAAUUAAAUCUUAUCUUGUUUAAUUAAGACCCUACAAGAGAAGAAACCAAGUCUUAUAUAACAAAUG